rnacentral:lncRNA from 1 species
CACCAAUCCGCACCUUCCACUAUCCGGGUAGGACCAAUCAGCGGCUGCGGGGACUGGGAGGGAGACUGUCGCCAUGGCACCAAGGAGGCGGGAGCGCGCGGUGGGUAGAAGCACAGAGCAAAGCCGCCGGCUGGGGGCUGGAGAGACAGGUCUGUGCGCUGCAAGCAUUCAGCAGGCGGAGUUUCGUGCGCUGAGACCCAGCUGGGUAAGGCCGGUGGCCUCGAGUGUCAAGAGAGAGACAGAACAUAUGAACAUGAAUCAUUGAGCCAUUAUUUUCAUUUCUGGAAGACAGAACCUCUUGAAAGUCUCAAAGUGUCCACUAAACUCCUAAAUUGGACAAUAUCCAUUUACACAAUUGAAUAAGUAAGUGCUACUAUCUAAGCUGUGUAUUAAGGCUCUUAAAUCCAUGGAUAAAUAUGAACACCAAACGAUAUACUACCUUGGUUAAAAAAAAAAACGGGGAGAGGGGAGAAGGGAAGUUAAAUGCAAAUAUAUUUGCUAGUCAGUUUUGUUUGAAAGAGAGUGUGGACUUUCCCUAUAAGAAUGAAAAGAAUUGAUGAGAUAGUGCUUUAAGGAAUUCAUUAAAAGUAGUAUGACUAGUGGUAUAAUAGAUUUGGAUCAGAUAACCUGUAGCUUCUUUUACAACCUGCUUAAAUGACUUGUUUCUUAAGACCUUCCCAGGUGAAUUCUGUUGAACAGUGUCACGCAAUAUUCAAAUUCUUUCAUCUUUCCCCUCAUACAUAUUGCUCCAGGAUUCAUUCUGAUUUAAGCUGAGCGAGUUCUUGUUUUAUAAAACUUUA